GGAGAGAUGGCUGAGUGGUUGAUAGCCCCGGUCUUGAAA
rnacentral:tRNA from 2 species